rnacentral:lncRNA from 1 species
ACCUCAUCUCCUAAACCAGAGGACACACAGCUGGAUGCUGUGUAUGUUGGCAUCGCCAUCGGCCUGCUGCUGCUCGUACUUGGAGUUGCUGUCGGCUUCCUGGCAUUACUCAAGAAAAGAUGCUGCUUAAUAAAGCCCAACCCGAUGGACUACGGGGUGAUGGAUAACCCAGGCUUUGACUGGAGAGCAGAGCACCCGUCCCUCCACGAAAGGCCAGGCGGGUGUCCCAGACUUAACCCCAGGAGGAGUGAUGGUCGGGGGCUUUCCAUCAGUGUCUACCCCUGGAGGAAGGAGGCGGAGGUAAGGUGUCUCGUCUUAGCCUCUGGGGCUUUACUCUAAUUAUCU